rnacentral:rRNA from 1 species
CACGAACGCUGGCGGCGUGGAUAAGACAUGCAAGUCGAACGGGACAGACCGAGUAGCAAUAUUUGGAAUGUUCAGGGGCGAACGGGUGCGUAACACGUGGAUAACAUUCCGGAAAGCGGGGAAUAGCCCAGGGCAACUUGGAUUAAUACCGCAUGUGGCCGCAAGGCUAAAGACGGGGACCGCAAGGCCUGUCACUUUCCGAUUGGUCCGCGGCCUAUCUGCGAGUUGGCGGGGUUACGGGCCACGAAGGCCACGACGGGUAGCUGGUCUUAGAGGACGACCAGCCAAAACGGAACUGAGACACCGUCCAGACACCUACGGGUGGCAGCAGUCGAGAAUCUUUCACAAUGGGGGCAACCCUGAUGGAGCGACGCCGCGUGGAGGAUAAGGUCUUCGGAUUGUAAACUCCUGUCAUGCGAGAACAAGGUACUCAGGCUAAUAACCUGAUUGUUUGAUGGUACCGCAAGAGGAAGAGACGGCUAACUCUGUGCCAGCCGCCGCGGUAAUAC